GGCAGGAUAAGUCUUUUAUUGGCUGGUUGAUGUACAGUUGGUUCACCAAUUAAAUGAUAGCGACAGCACUAGCAUCUCAUUGGUUGGUGGGGUUAAAGUUCAUAUACCAAUGAAACGAUAGUAUCUAUACUAUUUAAGGACUUUUAUUAUGGCGGGUGGGUAUGUUUGUGACCUGGGGUGCUUCUCUCUCUCCCUGGCAUUUCCGUUUCCGUUCUGAUUCCUUCCUCAGUUUCAUUUAGAGCGCGUCUGGUGGCGUUGGCAGUGCGGCAACUCGCGGCGUAUUUCGGCUGCAGUAAUUGCAGCGAGAGCAGUGAAUGCUGGCUGGUAGACUGAGCUAUGACACCGGUUGUGAGUAACCAUAUAGCGUUGCAUCUAAUUUUUAUUCAAUAACAAUCGUAAGUAUGCCACUUAUUUCUUCAUAUUGGUGGUUAUCUUGUUUUAAUCGUUAUAAUAAUUUGUUUUUUUAUUCUUUAGUUAAGGGGAAAUUAAAACAUCUUAGUCCUCAUCCUGGCCAAUGAUUUCAGGCAACGCAGCUGCUGUUAUGCUUAGGGACGCAUUUUGGAGUCCGAUCUGCACUUUACGGUCUUUUGUGCUUUAAUACUUUGAGAGUUUACGAAGCUGUAAAGACUGAGUAUUUUCUCCGCAUGGACUAUCUACCAGUUGAGGUUCUGGAUUGUUUUGUUUCUUCUAACCGUAAUUGUUUGUUUUGUUUGUUUGGUUAUAUUGGUCUUUUUUUUGGUAUUGAUUUGUUUAACCUGCAUUUUCUUUUGUAAGCACAUUGUAUGCUGCAAGGGUUAUUUCUUUUUGAGUAUUUAUUGAUUUUGAUUUACGUUUUGGGUGUGGUGUUCUCUGGAUGCUCGAGUGCCAGAGUCGCAACAAAGUGUUUAUAAGUUUCUUUUUUUUUUUUUUUUUGCAUGUUUUCAUUUCUAUAAUUUUGUUGAAUUUCUUCUUUAAUGUUAUUUUCUGUUUCUCCAGGGCCAGUGAGGAUCGGGUGGAACUGGGGAGGCUAGAUGCUGUCAUUUUGCAGUGUCACAGUGUGCGGUGUGUGUGGAUACAACUUCCCAUUGGUGUGUGUGAUGGUUGCUUUGGUGUGAAUUUAGGUGGGUUUUUGGAUAACCGUUCUGAGUUGCAGCCGGCCUGCCUGGUUCCCACUAAUCCUGGCCCUGGGAAUUACCUCCCUUAUUGUGGAAAUGGUUUGUGUGAGAGCGUUUUAAAUCUAUGCGUGUGUUUUAAAAUAAAAUCCAAUCUUUUGUAUUCUCGC